rnacentral:tRNA from 1 species
UCUAAUAUGGCAGAUUAGUGCAGUGGGUUUAAGCUCCAAAAAUAAAGUAUCUUCUUUUUUUAGAA